UACGUAGGGUGCAAGCGUUGUCCGGAAUUAUUGGGCGUAAAGAGCUCGUAGGCGGUCUGUUGCGUCGGCUGUGAAAACCCGGGGCUCAACUCCGGGCCUGCAGCCGAUACGGGCAGACUAGAGUUCGGCAGGGGAGACUGGAAUUCCUGGUGUAGCGGUGAAAUGCGCAGAUAUCAGGAGGAACACCGGUGGCGAAGGCGGGUCUCUGGGCCGAUACUGACGCUGAGGAGCGAAAGCGUGGGGAGUGAACAGG
rnacentral:rRNA from 1 species